rnacentral:snRNA from 1 species
UUGCUUCAGCAGCACAUAUACUAAAGUUAGAACAAUACAGAGGAGAUUAGCAUGGAUUCUGUGCAACAAUAAAUAAAUAACAGCAGUACUUGGUAUCCUU